GUGCAUAUGCUGCCGGCCGACGGGCCGGAAGCUCAGAUUUUAACGGUUGCUGCCUUAGACAUUCAAAUCUUUACAUCGUGAACUAGGAAACAAUCUCGGUUCCGGAAUGAUUCUACUGAUGUCGAUCAUAUCUUUGCAUUGAUGUUCACAACACCAGUGAAAGAAGUGCCUCUGUGGUGCCCGUAAUUUCACGGGGUGCUGACAUGAGUUUGAUUUUGGACAUGAAAACGAUGUCAAUUUUCCAAGUUAGUCUGCCCAUCUGCCAUGUCAAUCAUGCGCACGUACACCGCCAUUCCUGCCCAUGACAUGCAUGAGCUGAGCCUGAUGAUGUAGAGACUCGCAGAAUGAGCUGGAAUGUUUGGCUUCCUGUCCGCCCACAUCAUCUACUCUGCAGUGUGCCUAGAAUAGUGAUCUGCACUUUAUACAUACCACCGGCAUCGCGGGGUCAAGAUAUGUCAUGUGCCUGCCACCAGUACAUCAGAGGAGAGAUUGGAAGAAAGUGAACUAUCGAUGAAGUAAUCUCCAGAAGUUUUGAGAGCCCCACAGCAGCAUAGUCUAUGGUAUAAAUAUGUGUUUGCCUACAUGUACAUACCCAUUUCUUGUGCCCAAUAUCAACUUUUAGAUAUGAAAACAUCUUAAUAGUAAACACAGAUAUUCUAGAUAUUAAAGAGAUUGUUUGAAAAAAUCCACACAUCAGAAAAAUUCUGAUGAAAAAAUCCCUAAAUCAGAAAAAAUCCUGACAAAUCUCACCCCUUGUACAUGUAUGAGCUCCAUGCACUAGCCAAAAGUGCAUACAGUAGCUGUUGUUCGAUUAAGAUAAAUUUUUUUCCACAAGUGGCAGAAAUUAUGAAGAAUGACAAACAUAUUUUGUCAAUCGACUACACAAGACAGCUACCAUAUCUGUGUAUGCCACUGAUUAAAAGAAUUCUCGGGUUAUUAUGGAUUAUAUAUUAAUUAUGGAUAGGUUGUUUUUUUUCA